AACAAAUAUCGAAAAUGGUAUGUUUCUGACUGUUAAUCAGAGGGUCGCUGGUUCGAGCCCAGCC
rnacentral:tRNA from 1 species